rnacentral:rRNA from 1 species
GGGCCCGCACAAGCGGCGGAGCAUGCGGAUUAAUUCNAUGCAACGCGAAGAACCUUACCAAGGCUUGACAUGGACCGGACCGGGCUGGAAACAGUCCUUCUCCUUUGGGGCCGGUUCACAGGUGGUGCAUGGUUGUCGUCAGCUCGUGUCGUGAGAUGUUGGGUUAAGUCCCGCAACGAGCGCAACCCUCGUUCCAUGUUGCCAGCGCGUAAUGGCGGGGACUCAUGGGAGACUGCCGGGGUCAACUCGGAGGAAGGUGGGGACGACGUCAAAUCAUCAUGCCCCUUAUGUCUUGGGCUUCACGCAUGCUACAAUGGCCGGUACAAAGGGUUGCGAUACUGUGAGGUGGAGCUAAUCCCAAAAAGCCGGUCUCAGUUCGGAUUGGGGUCUGCAACUCGACCCCAUGAAGUCGGAGUCGCUAGUAAUCGCAGAUCAGCAACGCUGCGGUGAAUACGUUCCCGGGCCUUGUACACACCGCCCGUCAAGUCACGAAAGUUGGUAACACCCGAAGCCGGUGGCCUAACCCCUUGUGGGAGGGAGCUGUCGAAGGUGGGACUGGCGAUUGGGACU